UCAUGGAAGGCCUUGGUUCUCUCUUUGUAAAUUUUAGCAUUUUCGUAGGCAUCAUUUCUAAGUUCGUCUAACUCGGUCAAUUGUAACUUCCGAUGACUACCGGCGGUGGGUAAGUCGAAGUUCAAUUCUCUAAUGGCCCACAUGGCCCUAUGCUCUAGCUCAACCGGCAAAUGGCAAGCUUUACCAUACACGAGUCUAUAAGGAGACAUUCCUAAGACGGUCUUAAAGGCGGUCCGAUAGGCCCAUAAGGCAUCUAUC
rnacentral:lncRNA from 1 species